rnacentral:rRNA from 1 species
GAUCAUGGCUCAGGAUGAACGCUGGCGGCGUGCUUAACACAUGCAAGUCGAACGGAACUCUUUGGAUCGAGACUUCGGUCAAGUGAAUCUGAGUUCAGUGGCGGACGGGUGAGUAACGCGUGAGGAACCUGCCUUGGAGUGGGGAAUAACAGUUGGAAACGACUGCUAAUACCGCAUGAUGCGAUUGUCUCGCAUGGGACUGAUCGCCAAAGAUUUAUCGCU